AGUAAGCAAGCGUUAGUGAUGGCAACGGCAUCCUUUUUCUGCUGAGGGAAAGCAGCACAAAAAGAUAUAGUAAAAAGCACGACCUGAA
rfam:Polaribacter sp. Hel1_33_78 genome assembly, chromosome: I